GUUUUGCAUCUUUUCUUAAAGGUACUGAAGAUAAUUAUGCGACUAUUCCAGAUGAAGCUCUCACUAAUGAAGAGCAAUAUGCUGAAGCUAGUGGGCCCAGUUAUUUAGAAUUGAAACCAGCAGACAUGAAGAUUUCUUACGUUAAUGUUUCAAGGAAACCUGAUGGUAAGUAUAUAAGCAAUCGAAUAAUAAAAUUUCAUUCAUUAGAGCAAGAGU